CGCGUGGUGUGAUAAGUCCAUUUGUGUCUUCUCCUUUAGAUUCCACAUUUAGAGUUUUCUCCGGAUAUAUGCACAAGAAUGGAAUUGCUGGAUCAUAGGGUAAGUCUUUUAAGUUGUUUGAGGAAUCUCCGUGCUGUUUUCCAUAAUGGCUGCACCAAACUGCAUUCCCACCAACAGUGUAGUGGGGUUCCCUUAUAGGAGGAACUGUUUUAUAUGCAAAUACAAAUUUCUGUUGCCACCAGUCCACACACAGGUCCAGCCAGCUGUGGGUGGGAAGGGAAAGAAUAGUAAUUGUGAGGCACCUCUGCAGACUCGUUAGCCCCUAAGGCCACAGCAAGAUGAGUCCUCCUCCCUCAGCUGGACAAGAUGCUCCGCACAGAAAUCCCACAAAUCCCACAAUGACACUGACUGUCAUUCCCCUUUCACACACCUUUAACAGGCACCCCAUGAACUUCCUCUCAGCCCAUUCCCCUUGUGUCCUUGGGAUUAAGAGGGAGCUGCCUCCACCACUCCCCACAUUGCAAUAAUCCCAGGAGGCUCCCUCUACAAUGGAGCAGAGAGGCAAAAAGCCCUGUCUCUCAGGCCAAGACAUCCUCUCUGGUCAGGACACCCUGGCCUAUCAUCUGGCCACCUCAGGGAAGCAGACUGAAGCUCCCCAAAGAUAAGGGCUGUCUCUUGGCUCCAUUCUAGAAAACUGGAUAGUGUUCAGAGGGCUGAAAGGCAUGAAAACAGCUCUCCAUCCCUAGUUUGCUCAGGGGUGCAGAUGAUUAGGGAAUGCCCCACAGGCCCGUGGCCAAUCAGGCUCGAGGGAAAAGGACAAUGCAGGGGUCCCUGGGGUAAGUGGGAGCUGCAGGCUCCCAGGACCAGUCUGAGGACCCUGUGUCAAUGUGGAGGAAGAUCUAGUCAGCCACCUGUGGAUCCAUAGCUCCAGGGACCUCCUCAGCCUCCUUCUCAGGACCCCUCUCUGUAGAGCAGCACAGACAUGAAUAAGACUACAGUGGUCUGAGAUCAUUUCCAAACAAAACUGUCAUCAUUCACAUUUUACAUACAUCACCCCAAGGUGCUGCUCCCACCCACAGCCAUCCAGAUCCACCCCCCCAGCCUCUUAACUCCCCUCCACCCUACACCACCCUGGCCCUGAUGGUCCGACCCUCCUUCCCUGUCCUUCCUCCCUAACCCCACAUCAGCUGGGGUCAGCACUGAAUGAGAAGAAGCCCCUA